CAGGACAAUGCAAGCACAUGGAUUACAGAAGACGACAGACUAGGCAUGGCAUGAAUGGAUUUGCAGAGUGAUACCUGGAGCAGGCUGAUAAGGAGGGAAACAGGAUUUGAACGUUUUGCCUGUGGGCUGUCAAUGAUAUGCAGGAAGAUAGUAAUGGUCGCUUUUAAAUAAAGUUGCAUUUUGUGAA